rnacentral:misc_RNA from 1 species
AUAUAUAUAUAUAUAUCCAUCCUAUUUGUCGUUUCUUUUGGUGCAAUUAACUCACACCUUCUUCCACAAGUGAUAUUGUUAUGUGUGUGUUUCUAAAGCUUAAUUAAACUGUAAUCAGCUGCCUCACAUUCAAGGGAUAUGUAUACUGUGAUGGACCAUCGAAAACAGUAUCCACAAGUAUCCGAGCAGCUGCCUCUGUUGGAUGAAAAAGAUCCCAGAACACAUGAUCUUUUCUGUUGGAACAAUACUUAGCAAUGGGUAAACACGGCACCUUGGCUUUUAGGGUCCCAAGUCCACAAC